rnacentral:rRNA from 2 species
AUGAUUUAUAUAUUUAAUGGCCGCGGUAUUUUGACCGUGCGAAGGUAGCAUAAUCAUUAGCCUAUUAAUUGUGGGAUAGUAUGAAUGGUUUGACGAAAUAUUAACUGUCUCAUUUUAAUUAUUUAAAAUUUAAUUUUUGAGUUAAAAAGCUUAAAUUUUCUUAAAGGACGAGAAGACCCUAUAGAUCUUUAUUAUUUAUUUUUUUAUAUUUUUUAGUUUAUUUUGUUAUAUUUUUAAUUAUUAUUUUGUUGGGGUGAUGUUAGGAUAUAUUUAACUCCUUUUUUUUUUAUCAUUUAUUUUUGUUUUUUUGAUCUUUUAUUAUUGCUUAUAAGAAUAAGAUACCUUAGGGAUAACAGCGUAAUUCUCUUUGAGAGUUCAUAUUGACAAUGGAGUUUGCGACCUCGAUGUUGAAUUAAGAUUAUUUUUAGGUGAAGUAGCUUAAUUAUUAAGUCUGUUCGACUUUUAAUAUCUUACAUGAUCUGAGU